GGAAGGAAGCUCACUGUAGAGGCUACUUGCUGGGUGCUGUUGUUACUCUAUCAACCAGCCUUGGGGAAGGUCUGAGAUAAGAGCCACUUGUUGCCUUCACAAGGCAUUGCUUGGUGUAAGCAAGUGAGUUCCCAUCAAAGAUGGCUCAGUUGCAAGCUUAAUGCAAGAGACAUAGCAAAGAAGCCCAAUAUACUUCUGAUAUGGAUGCAAUGCCCAACAGACUGGAAAUGACUCACGGCUGGCAUGUUCAAGCUCAAUGACUGAGGGGAAGCAAGUGAUGGCUUCCUAACCCAAUUCAGACCACUCUCCGGAAUUCC
rnacentral:RNase_P_RNA from 12 species